AUGACUUUAAUAUUUGAAUGGAAAGUUUAAACGCCUUAGUAAAUCACUCUGUACCGGAAUCACAAGCGAAUAACAUCGUGUUCGGCUCGAGUGAAACAUAUUUUCUGUGUUUUGUUCCAAAUUCUUGUUAGAAUGCCCGCGAAGAAGGAUUCUGCCAAGAGCUCGAAAAAAGGAGCUGCGGCUCCUGCGGGGGCGAAACCGACCGCCGAUCCUGUGACAUCUGGAUCAAACGCCACCGUGGAACCAGCCGCCAAAGAAGCCAAGGGUGCCAAGAAGGGCAAAGGCAAGAAGAAGUAAACAUUCCCAUCUGGAUUUUUGGGAACUGGAGUUGAUGGCAUUAAAAUAAAGUUCCCAGAAAGGGAAUAAUGAUUAAAUAAAACCAUCUAAACAAAA